UUUUUUUUUUUUUUACUCUCUGUAAAGUCACUGUCUAUAUAUGUCUAUUCUCUCUCUCUCUUAAUUGUUCUUAAGUGAGUCAGUGCAAAAUCAAAAGCCAUUUCUCAGUUGCCAACUUUAAUGUACGCUGUUAGAGAAAUCCCAUGACUUUGCUGGCUGGUAAAAGAGAGUUAAAUAUUAGCAUGGGAGCUUUAAUGAUGAGAAUUGUAACAAUCUAUUUGCUGAUGUUGUGUAAGAGUGGUGGGUAGAGAAAGCUAAUGGCAGUUUAAGAUUGAUGAAAAAAAUAUAUAGCUUAAGAAAUUUUAUUACAUUCUGUCUGAAAAUGAGGGCGUCUGUAAAAAUAAAUGUGUGUUGCUCAAUUCUGGGAUUAGUGCAAUAUUUUUUACAAAGGUGUUAAUUCAAAAAUAAAAUCUAAAAAUCUAAUUAAAGAAACAGUCAGUAGCCAUAUGGCCACUAUAGCCUGCUAUUGUGCCCUUCCAUUGUAAGUAGUCAAACCGCUUGCAAACAGUUUGAUAACUUGCUUGGAAUCUGCCUGGCUCUGAUUUCUUCUUUCUCUGUAGUUACAAAAGGCUGUAG